AGCAUGACGUUGGUCUGGAUACUGGAGUUGCCACUCCAUUUUUAAAAUGUCCCAGGUGCUUGGUGUGGUAGAGACACCAUUAAUUUGACUCUUCUGCUGGUACCUGAGGCUUCCCGCAUGGCUCACUGGUAAAGAAUCCACCUACAAUCCUGGAGCCUCAGGAGGCACGGGUUCGAUCCCUGGGUCAGGAAGAUCCCCUGGAGGAGGGCAUGACAGCCCACUCCAGUAUUCUUGCCUGGAGAAUCCCAUAGACAGAGGAGCCUGGCCAGUUACAGUCCAUGGGGUCGCAGAGAGUCAGACAGAACUGAAGUGACUUAGCACACAUAGGUACAUACUUGUCAGCAGCAAACUUAUGAGUUCUUCUCAGUACAUAAUUCUAAUAUUCUUAUUCACUCAUUUGUGUUCAGGAUACUAUAGAGGUUUCAGAUAUCUAGUUGAGUAAUGAUUCUUAGAAAAUGAAUGAAUAUUUCUUUCCCAUUAAAUUCCAUAAUAAACUGAAAAUCUUUUUCCCACAGAAACCUUACUACAGGAGAUGUGUUGAAAGACUUCAGAACAAGAGGAUUUAAGGUCGUGAACAGACCUGUGGCAAGCUAUGGCUUCUUGGGAUUAGUUAGGUCUAGAAUAGAUCUUGCUGUAGGUUUCUUUUUGUAAGGAUAACACUUCUCACUUCUCUAGGUGUUAGAUGUCCAUUGCGGACCAUGGUGCUUCAGGACAAAGAUUUUUCCUUAUGCCAGAGAAUCAUCUGACUCUCUACUAGAGUAUCCCCAAAUUCAUGUGAUUAGAAUGUCUAUAACAGUAUUCCUCUCAGAAGCCCAUAACAGCAGUCUAAUCAUGAGCAGUGUGUGUGUGCAUGCUAAGUUGCUCCAAUCAUGUCCAACUCUUUAUGACCCUGUAAACUGCCAGCUCCUCUGUGGACGGGGAUUCUCCAGACAAGAAUACUGGAGCGGGUUGCCAUGUCCUUCUCCAGGGGAUCAUUCCCACCCAGGGAUCGAACUCAUGCCUCUCACAUCUCCUGCAUUGGCAGGUGGAUUCUUUACCACUAGCACCACCUUGGAAGCCCCACUCAUGGGCAGAACAUCAGACAAAUCCCAUCUGAGGGACAUUCUACAAAAUACCUGACCCAGUACUAUUCUUUUUUAACUUUGUGCCACAAGAUCUUCGUUCCCCAACCAGAGAUCGACCUGAGCCCACAGUAGUGAAAGUGCCAAGUACUAACCACUGCCCGGAAUUCUCAAGACAUAAAAAAAGGGAUAACUAAAUGUAAUGUGAUAUUCUACAGCGGAGCCUGGAACCGGAAAAGGAGAUUAGAUACAAACUAAGGAAAUUUGAAUAAAGUAUAGCCUUAGUUAUUAAUAAUGUGUCAAUACUGGUCCAUUUUCUGUGACAGAUGUAUCAUACUAAUGUUAAGAUAUUGAUAAUAGGGGAAACUAGGUGUGGGGUUUAUUGGAACUCUGUGUACUAGCUUCCUUAUUUUUUAAUAAAUCUAAAUUUGUUCUAAAAUUUUAAAAAAUACUUUAAAAAAGUAAGAAAUACGGUCCAUAAUAGCUAGGCUAAAAUAUCGAAUAUACCACAAGGUACAAUUUGUGAUCACAUGAGUUCAGUUCAGAGGGCUUCCCUGGUGGCUCAGAUGGUAAAGAAUCUGCUUGCAAUGAGGGAGACCUGGGUUUGAUCCCUGGGUCGGGAAAAUCCACUGGAGAAAGGAAUGGCUACCCACUCCAGUGUCUUUGCCUGGAGAAUUCCAUGGACAGAAGAGCUUGGUGGGUCAGCUUUCAAAUACCUUAAAGAAUACUAUAAAAUAUAAAUAUUAUAAAAUGUAAAAUAACGCAUAACAUAGCAAAUAGAAUUACAAUGAUUUUUCUUGAGUUCUAAUACAGGAAUUCAAACUAGCUCAGAUCUUUUUUAAACAACUAAACCAUAAAAAUUCAUUCACUUAAAACAAUUAGCAUGCAUGGGUUCAGACCUCUAGCAUUUUAAAAAUAAAAAUAUUUUGUAGAGCUCUUAAUCUCUUUUUUCAUUUUUAUUUUUCCUACACAAUUUUGCCAUUUCAACUUUAAUGGCAGAUUCUCAACAACACAUUAUUUGAGUCAUGAAACUAAAGAUCCUCAAGAGAAGAUCAAAAAAGCAAUUUUGUUGGCAGUUUACAAAUCUUUCCUCACUGGAUUCUCACAAGAACCUUCUGAUGUUGGCAGACAUAGAGAACAAACUUAUAGUUGCCAGGGG
ensembl:lncRNA